CAAAAGAUUCUUUUAUUAGGAAUGCUGACAAAUCCGUCCGGCCGGAAGAUGAAUAGUUGUCUGCCACACCUAUUCAUCUCCACCUCCUGACUUUUAUUCCCAGAGCUAGGGUGGGGCCUCGUUAGCGGCGGUGGUUCUUCCUUCCUCAGGAUCGGCCCACGGCUUUGCACUGCUCUCCCCUUCUCUGCCUUCUGCGCAUCCGCGCGUCAGGCACUGGACCCAGCUGUUCCUCUUCUUUUUCAUCAACCACCUCCAGACCUGGGGGCUUUUGACAGAAGCGGGUCUCUUUCUCUCUGCCAGCUCCAUUCCCUCUUCCCCCUCGGAGCUCCCAGGUUGCCCCGAUGCUGACCCUGACUCCCACACCUCCUCCUCCUCCUCUGAUUCAGCUGCUGGAGGGACCAGCGGCCGACAGGCCACAACACUUUCUAUAUAGAACAGAGAUCUCCAACCCCUGGUCCAUGGACUGGCACCAGUCGGCUGCAUGCCUGAAACCAGGCCACGCAAACAAGAGAAGCCCCAUCCAUGGGAUGCAGGUAGCACGCGAAACCACACCUCCUCUGGUCUGCAGAAAAAACUCUCUCCAUGGAACCUGUUCCUGGUGCCCAGAAGGUUGGGGGCUGCUGAUAAAGAAUACAGAUGUUUCACUUCUCCUCCAAGAAGCUUCUUCCAGUUGCCUCCUGAAAAAAAGCACCUUUGGGACAACCAUGAUCUGGAUGAUUGAGAAUCUCUACAGAUUUCGGCCACUUAUUUACUCUCAACCCUAAGAAGGAGACAAUGGCAAACCACUUCUGAAAAUGCUGCCUAGAAAACUGCCCAACCAUGUGGACAUCAGGAAUCAAAAUUAACUUGAAGAGGAAGGAAAAAAACACAGGAAAAAAAAUCAAAUGUUUAGAGAAUAAUUCAACAUCAAGCAAAAAGAAAGCCAGCUAAUUGUCAGUAGACCCGUUGUCAACCUGGAAUAAGAAUUUGAAGUUGGGAAUUAAAAGCAAGUAGUAAGUGAGACCGUGAGACAACGCUUGCUAAUGAAAUGAACCAAGACUGACCUUAAAGGCAUUUUAAAGAAAGUGCAUAUUGAAUCAGUUCCUGUAGCCUUCCAACUUGUUAAUGACCAGAAUGCUGAACUAACCCCAUCUUCUAAUACAUAUUUUAUCACUUCUGGUCACUCCAGCAGCUUUCCUCAAGUAUCUCAUUUCCAUGGAGUGGAAUGAGCUGUCCUUGGUUUUCCUGAUGCAUUGCAAAGUCUACCCAAUGAUGGUCAUUUGUCCAAGUUCUAAAUCUGGAUUCCUCCCCUGAGCAACAAGACAGACAUACUGGUCUGACUGGCUCCUUUCACAGCUAAGAUUCCAUUCAUUGAUGAGAAAAUACCCUAUUUUUCGGCAUAUAAGACGCACCAGACUAUAAGACGCACCUAUCUUUUUUGAUAGGACUUGGCUGAGAAGCAAAUACAUGGCGACCAUGAACCAGAAACCAUUUACUCCGACUUGUAGCAAGGAGUGCUGAAGGGUGUGCCCACACAGGCAUGUUUUUGCAACACUCCCAGGGACCGAGAGGAAUGUGAUAAGAAUGCACCAAAGAGCAUGUAUUUGCAAAGCAGCCUGUGUCAACCAGCAUCACUGCCUUUGGCAGGAGCGCAACCAACCAUCGCUCUGGCUGCAAACUGGGAAAUGUGACUCACCAUUUUG